rnacentral:rRNA from 1 species
AGUAGCUAUCUCUCGGGGUAGUCAAUUGGUUAUUAUAUCUCCACUAAUGAGCAGAGAGGAGUAAAAUCUUCAAAGUAAGUUAUGUGGAUCAAGGUAUAAUGAUUAAUUGGAGUUCUAGUUCAUUUACUUUGAGAAAAUUAGAGUGUUUAAAGCAGCCUCUUGGGGCACUGAAUACAUUAGCAUGGGAUAAUAAAAUAGGAUCUUCACAAUAUAUUUUAUUGGUUUAAAUUGGAUAUGAAGAUAAUGAUUAAUAGGGACAGUUGGGGGUAUUCAUAUUGGGUGGUUAGCGGUGAAAUGCUCGGAUCCAUUCAAGAUGAACUAAAGCGAAAGCAUUUACCAAGGAUGUUUUCAUUAAUCAAGAACGAAAGUUAAGGGGAUCGAAGACGAUUAGAUACCGUCGUAGUCUUAACUAUAAACUAUGCCGACCAGGG